UGCGCGGAAGAUGUAACGGGGCUCAAACUGGUUACCGAAGCUGCGGCUGCAUACUUUGUAUGCGGGGUAGGGGAGCGUUCUGUAAGCCUGCGAAGGUGAGUUGAGAAGCUUGCUGGAGGUAUCAGAAGUGCGAAUGCUGACAUGAGUAACGAUAAUGGGGGUGAAAAACCUCCACGCCGGAAGACCAAGGUUUCCUAUCCAACGCUAUUCGAGGUAGGGUGAGUCGGCCCCUAAGGCGAGGCAGAAAUGCGUAGUCGAUGGGAAGCAGGUUAAUAUUCCUGCACCGGCAGUAACUGCGAUGAGGGGACGGAGAAGGCUAGGCGAGCGCAGCGUUGGUUGUCUGCGUUUAAGGAUGUAGGUUGGGGGAUUAGGCAAAUCCGGUCCCCUAAGACUGAGAUCUGAUGACGAGGUCCUUCAUGGACUGAAGUCGUUGAUGCCACGCUUCCAGGAAAAGCCUCUAAGCUUCAGGUUACUGCUGACCGUACCCAAAACCGACACAGGUGGUCAGGUAGAGAAUACCAAGGCGCUUGAGAGAACGAUGUUGAAGGAACUCGGCAAAAUACCUCCGUAAGUUCGCGAGAAGGAGGCCCGGUUCCUAGGCAACUAGGGGCUGGGGGCACAAACCAGGGGGUGGCGACUGUUUACUAAAAACACAGGGCU
rnacentral:rRNA from 17 species